rnacentral:rRNA from 1 species
AGUGAACGCUGGCGGUAGGCCUAACACAUGCAAGUCGAACGGCAGCACAGUAAGAGCUUGCUCUUACGGGUGGCGAGUGGCGGACGGGUGAGGAAUACAUCGGAAUCUACUUUUUCGUGGGGGAUAACGUAGGGAAACUUACGCUAAUACCGCAUACGACCUACGGGUGAAAGCAGGGGAUCUUCGGACCUUGCGCGAUUGAAUGAGCCGAUGUCGGAUUAGCUAGUUGGCGGGGUAAAGGCCCACCAAGGCGACGAUCCGUAGCCGGUCUGAGAGGAUGAUCAGCCACACUGGAACUGAGACACGGUCCAGACUCCUACGGGAGGCAGCAGUGGGGAAUAUUGGACAAUGGGCGCAAGCCUGAUCCAGCCAUACCACGUGGGUGAAGAAGGCCUUCGGGUUGUAAAGCCCUUUUGUUGGGAAAGAAAAGCAGCAGGUUAAUACCCCGCUGUUCUGACGGUACCCAAAGAAUAAGCACCGGCUAACUUCGUG